AGGUAUAUUAGGAAUUUGGGGUCAAACAAAUUCCUUCACAAUUGUUUUUAUCAACAAAUGAUUUAUCAAUAACAUAUCAAACUCCAAAAAAAAGUCCUAAAAAAAUCUCCGUGCAGUCUCCGAGAUAUCACUGUUUAAAGUGAAGUCAAUUCUAAGAAUUAGCGAUGGUACCGUUACUACACCAUACAACCGUAUUUUACCGGAACCGGUGUAGAUGUAAACAAUGUGCUCUGAGCAGCGUUCAUUAUUUAGAUCACUUUCUUGGCUAUUUCCAGCUUUAAGCAGCAUUUUCUAGGGGGAGAUGUUUGUUUAUCAAAAUCACGUCUGCUAUUAUGAGCUUGCUGGUUUUUCAGCUUCAUAUAGAUAAAAUAAAGAAUCAUGUCUGCUGUUAUCGUCAAUUAUUUACCUGUGUGUGAUGUCAUGAGACAACUGUGCUUUCCCUGCAUAUGAGGAAACAACUGUAUAUAACAAAAAAUGAGCCUGGAAGUAACCAGUAUAGACACAACUAAAAAGGUGUGUGUCAUCUGUGGAGAGCAUGAUGACCGUCAAGUUUCAAAACUUGGAGAAAAGGGAUGUCAAGGACUUUCAUUAGCUGCAAAAAACUAUAAAGACCAGAUUAUCGUGUUUGUUCCGGGACAAUAUGUGCAUAUCGACUGCCGUAAGACAUAUUGCCACCCAAACCAAACCAGUAGUAGAGGGAAAUCAACAUCAAACUUAAUGUCAAGUCCCAAAACCAGGCAAUCAACAAAUGGAAAUUCGUUUGA